rnacentral:sRNA from 1 species
AAACUCUGAUCUGGAGCAAUAGUUAGUGACUUGCCUGCCCAGGGAAAAAUGAGCAGCCAUGCCAUCUUUUUUGUCUUCUCAUCAUGACUCUCUGCUCCUCUCCACCUCCCAUCCCCACACCCCUUGCAUUCUUCCCAGUGGAGAAACUUCCCUGGGAGCAGAGGAAAUUGCUCCGGUGGAAGAUGAGCACAGUGACCCCCAACAUUGUCAAGCAGACCAUCGGACGGUCCCACUUCAAAAUCAGCAAAAGAAACGAUGACUGGCUGGGCUGCUGGGGUCACCACAUGAAGUCUCCUAGUUUCCGAUCUAUUCGAGAGCAUCAGAAGCUAAACCAUUUCCCAGGCUCAUUCCAGAUUGGGAGGAAGGACCGGCUAUGGCGGAACCUGUCACGCAUGCAGAGCCGCUUUGGCAAGAAGGAGUUCAGUUUCUUCCCCCAGUCCUUUAUCCUGCCCCAGGACGCCAAGCUCCUGCGCAAAGCGUGGGAGAGCAGCAGCCGCCAAAAGUGGAUUGUGAAGCCACCAGCAUCAGCUCGAGGCAUUGGCAUCCAGGUUAUUCACAAGUGGAGUCAGCUCCCCAAGCGAAGGCCCCUCCUGGUACAGAGGUAUCUACACAAACCCUACCUCAUCAGCGGCAGCAAAUUUGAUCUGCGGAUCUAUGUUUACGUCACUUCCUAUGAUCCUCUGCGGAUUUACCUCUUUUCAGAUGGACUGGUCCGCUUUGCCAGUUGCAAGUAUUCUCCUUCCAUGAAGAGCCUUGGCAAUAAGUUCAUGCAUCUGACCAACUACAGUGUCAAUAAAAAGAAUGCCGAGUACCAGGCCAAUGCAGAUGA